CAAGAUUAUAAACAUACAAAUGUAAUAAAAAUUAUUGUUCGCGAAUAUUCAAUUUGGAAUGCGAUUUUGUUAAUAAAAAAAAAUACUUAUAACUUAUGCAAAACCCAAGAGAGGCAUUUAUAUUUAUUUCUUUUGCGUUCAUUUUCAAAUUCGCCGUGCAUAUAUUUUUGUGCAUGGCGCUUGAGAGGGCAUCACGUGACUAAAAACGACCAACCAACGACCUCGCUUCGGCCAUCUUGGCCUUGGCAUCUUCAUCUUGGCGACCUUGCCUUGCCGUGGAUUGUUUUUAGUUGUUUGUAUUAUUUGUGCUUUUUAAGAAUAUUUUUUUAAUUCGGAUACUUUGUAAUAGCUUUAAUAGUAUUAUUAACAUAGUGCAUAAAAUGGUGUCCUGUUUUUAACGCAGUUGGAGUAGCAGAAACAAAUGUAGAUAAAAAAAUCUGCAGGAAUAACGUUUCAAUUAUGACAGAAGCUCAAAACAAAUGACUGUGAAUGAAAAGCCCUAUUAAAAGCUUUCCAGAAGAUCCUGCGAAGAAGACAUGAAGUAUAGAUCAGAUUUGUUAAUAGAGGAGUAUGUUCAAAACACUUUUUAGAAAAAGAUAUUGACAGAACUUCACUUUCAUCUGUUCGUUUGAGAGACUGUGCUGUUCAAAUAGCUUAUGUCACACAGAAUCAGCUGAGAGAAGUGGUCUACAAAAAACCAGAAAGGAAACGGAAUAUGUGGCUACGAAAAGCAAAAGAAAGGUUUACAAAGCAAAUGUGACACAUUUUUUUAUAAUAUUUAGGAAUGUCAGCAAAUUACA